CCCCACCCAAUAAGGCCACAAUCAAUGAGCCUAAAUAUGGCUCCUACUCUGGAAAUCAAGCUGAGGAGGUCACAACUAAGAAAACCAAGCUAAUGAUGGAAACACAACUAAGGAUAGCGUAAGGCUUGGAUUUUCCAGAUGGUUGAUAUAUUUUUUCACAUUCCCAUAAGUCAAAGAAAGGAACUCACCCCAAAGCCGGAGGAGCACAUCCCAAUGGAUCAGCACUUCCUUCUACAUUUAAGAACAGCAGUGUAAUGAAAAUGAAAGAGAAAAAACAGGCUGUAAAAAUAAAAAAAUUACUUCUUAA